rnacentral:rRNA from 1 species
UACGGAGGGUGCGAGCGUUGUCCGGAAUCACUGGGCGUAAAGGGCGCGUAGGCGGCUUCUCAAGCGUGUGGUGAAAGUCCGGGGCUCAACCCUGGAUCGGCCGUGCGGACUGGGGAGCUCGAGUUCUGUAGAGGCGGGUGGAAUUCCGGGUGUAGCGGUGGAAUGCGUAGAGAUCCGGAAGAACACCGGUGGCGAAGGCGGUUCUCUGGGCCUGUACUGGACGCUGAGGAGCGAAAGCGUGGGGAGCGAACAGG